UCUGCACCAUGGCACUGCUGGGACUGCUGGCACUGCUGGAGGACCAUGCAAAUGGCAUGAUUCGGAGGGAGAGGGUCUUCAGGGACCAUAACGACUUAUUGGCCCAUGAUGAUGACUGGCUAAUGAGCCGUUUUAGAUUCCCUAGAGCUAUGCUCUUGGAUCUAUGUGCUGAACUGGGUCCAGCAUUGGAAAGGGCAACACGUAGGAACCACGCAAUCCCGGUGCAGACGCAGGUCCUCACCACUUGGGGUUCCUGGCAACCGGCUGUUUCCAACGGGAAUUGUCAGACAGGUGUGACGACCCAGUUGGGUCUUUGACCCCGCCCCUGCUGUGUGUGCCUGUGUUUCUCUCCCUCCUGAUUAGGAGAUUGUCGGCAGGUGUGGGAUGGACCGGUGGCAGUAUAAAGAGCCUGCCCAGACAGCAGACGUGGCUUCUCCCUCCUCCCAGCAUUGGCUUUCCUUUGGAUUCACAUGGACUGAUAUUUACAUUACCUUUAGGUUACUUACAUUUAUACUGACUUGCACCACACUUCUUAUUGUUAUGUUUAUUAUAUAAUAAAUUACUUAUUAUUGUGAAAAUAGCGUGGUCUCCCCGGUUCAUGUUGCAUGCAUGGAGCCAGCAUGUCACAUAUGGGGGCUCGUCCGAGAUCUGUUUCUGGAAGUGUGUAAGGUAAAGGAAAUUUUCCUCCACUUGUUUGGAUUGGCAAUUUUUGUCAAAUUGGCAUUUUGUUUGCACUGACGGGUAGGAAUUGCCUGGGCAGUGGCAUUAAAUGGAAUUGGGGGAGACCCGCGCUAAAUUAGUUGAGUUGGUUAAAUGAUAAAUUGAGAUUUUGGAUUAAUUGGUUAUUUGGUUGAUAUGGAUUGCUUUGUUUGAUUUGCUGGGGAGGAGUAGAGCCAAUUAGGAGGCUAGGUGUAGCUUCAAUUGGGUGCAGGUGUGGCGGUUACCAUGGAAGGCUGUUAGAUUAGAUCUGCUGGAGCAACUGAUAGUCCUCGCGUUAGGAGUAGAGCGCUUACCGCUGUUUAUUGUUUUGCCUUUGUUGUUUUGUUUUAUUUUUGGUGUGUCGGACGCGCUGGGGUUGCUUGUAACCAAAUUGCUAUGGGCACACCGAAGACUAGCUUAGAAGUAGGUAGGGCUGUGUUCUACAGUUAGAUGCGGGGCUGCUCCGGUCUGGUGGGAAAUUUGUUACACCUGUGUUCAAUUGGUUGGCUGUUCGGUGCGCUGUAGCUUUGUUCUUUCAUCCGGUUUAGCGCAACAUAAGCAUUUGUUUGGUAAGCAUUUGACAAGCAUUGCUUAAAAGGGACAUGGAAGCUUUUGUUGAGGCCCCAUCGGAGGCUAAAGUUUAUAAGUGUACCAAGCGACAAUUGUGGGAGGUGGCUGAGCAUUAUGGAUUGGAGGGUCUGCGGAAAGAUUUAGGAAAAGGAACUACAGGAAUUGAUAAGAUCGGGUUUGGUAGAGAAGUCUAUUAUAAGAACUCAGACUGAGCCCUCUACACCAAACGACUCGGAUGAAGAUUUGCGUUCUGGGGACAAGGAUUUGAGUUUCGAACAAAAAAUGGCGCUCAGGCGUUUCGAGGCGGAGCAGAGGCAUCUAGACCGUGAAGCUGAUUUAGAGCGGAGGCGUCUUGCUUUGGAAAUCGAGAAGCUGAAACGAGACUCGGACAUCGAGAGACUGAGAACCGAGUCUGAACUUCAGAGAGAGAAGUUUAGAUUAAUUGCAGAGGGGAAAAUGUUGGAGCUGGAGCUGCACACUCUCCUGGCAGACCAGAUGGAGUCACUGUUGGCAGACCGGAGGAAGAGUGUGGAGAGCGGGCCGCUCACCUGCAGCAGCCCUACAAUAUUCAGAUUCGCCCCAUACGGGGCGUGGACAACGUUAUGGCGGAUGCUUUGUCCCGCGCUCCGGAGUUGAUGGAGUAGGUGGUGGGUUUCAUACAUAUAGGCAUGGGGUUAUUUCUCUCCUUCCCUGUCCCUCUUAAAGUGCUUUUCCGGGCCCGGUUUUGCUGUGGGACAGGAGUCUUGGGGGGAGAUAACUGGUGGUAGUUGGGUUUUGAUGUUUUGGAUUGAUUGGUUAUUGUUUUUAUUUUGAUCGAUUAUUUUAUGUGGUUGUUUCUUUGGAACAGAAUCCCAUUUAGGUGGGCUUCUGUUUUAAGGGGGGGGGAUGUGAUGACCCAGUUGGGUCUUUGACCCCGCCCCUGCUGUGUGUGCCUGUGUUUCUCUCCCUCCUGAUUAGGAGAUUGUCGGCAGGUGUGGGAUGGACCGGUGGCAGUAUAAAGAGCCUGCCCAGACAGCAGACGUGGCUUCUCCCUCCUCCCAGCAUUGGCUUUCCUUUGGCUUCCUUUGUAUUCACAUGGACUGAUAUUUACAUUACCUUUAGGUUACUUACAUUUAUACUGACUUGCACCACACUUCUUAUUGUUAUGUUUAUUAUAUAAUAAAUUACUUAUUAUUGUGAAAAUAGCGUGGUCUCCCCGGUUCAUGUUGCAUGCAUGGAGCCAGCAUGUCACACAGAUCCGGUAUAUCACAGCCAUCCCUCAGUGCCCUAAUUCCCAGCGUUUUGAAUGGCAUCAUACAUAUGGGCAGUCGAUACAUAAGGUUUCCCUACACAGUGGAAGAACAGGCCGAGAUUAAAAGGCAAUUUGCAGCAAUGUCCGAUUUCCCAAACGUAAUCGGCGUAAUUGACUGCACUCAUAUUGCUAUAAGGGCUCCAUCUGAACAUGAGUUCGCUUACGUCAACCGCAAGCACGUGCACACUAUUCAUGUUCAAGUUGUAUGUGAUGCCCAUAUGAACUUCACAAACAUAGUGGCACGUUGGCCUGGUGCAACACAUGAUUCAUUUAUUCUGACGCACAGUAGUGUAGGGAACAGACUACAGGCAGGCGCGGGGCGGGAUGGCUGGCUUCUAGGGGACAGUGGAUACCCCCUGAGACGCUGGCUCCUCACCCCAGUUUUGAACGUGCAAAGCGCCGAGGAACAACGUUAUAAUGAGGUCCAUGGCCGUGCUCGUUCAGUG